AGAGUUGGUCAGGCAAUCGCUCUUUGUUUUCAAAGGGAGGAAAGUCCGGGCUCCACAGGGCAGAGUGCCAGGUAACGCCUGGGAGGUGUGAACCUACGGAAAGUGCCACAGAAAAUAUACCGCCUCUUUGAGGUAAGGGUGAAAUGGUGCGGUAAGAGCGCACCGCGCAUCUGGCAACAGAUGUGGCAGGGAAA
rnacentral:ncRNA from 2 species